rnacentral:rRNA from 1 species
GGACGAGUUCAGACUCGUGGCGAAUAGCUCAGUAACACGUGGCCAAACUACCCUUCGGAACACAAUACCCUCGGGAAACUGAGGCUAAUAGUGUAUACCAUACCACCACUGGAAUGAGUGGUAUGCCAAACGCUCCGGCGCCGAAGGAUGUGGCUGCGGCCGAUUAGGUAGACGGUGGGGUAACGGCCCACCGUGCCAAUAAUCGGUACGGGUCAUGAGAGUGAGAACCCGGAGACGGAAUCUGAGACAAGAUUCCGGGCCCUACGGGGCGCAGCAGGCGCGAAACCUUUACACUGCACGACAGUGCGAUAGGGGGAUCCCAAGUGCACAGGCAUAGCGCCUGUGCUUUACGGUACCGUAAGGUGGUACCAGAAUAAGGGCUGGGCAAGACCGGUGCCAGCCGCCGCGGUAAUACCGGCAGCCCAAGUGAUGGCCGAUCUUAUUGGGCCUAAAGCGUCCGUAGCUGGCCGCGCAAGUCCAUCGGGAAAUCCACCUGCUCAACAGGUGGGCGCCCGGUAGAAACUGCGUGGCUUGGGACCGGAAGGCGCGACGGGUACGUCCGGGGUAGGAGUGAAAUCCCGUAAUCCUGGACGGACCGCCGAUGGCGAAAGCACGUCGCGAGAACGGAUCCGACAGUGAGGGACGAAAGCCAGGGUCUCGAACCGGAUUAGAUACCCGGGUAGUCCUGGCCGUAAACAAUGCCUGCUAGGUGUGGCUCCCACUACGAGUGGGUGCUGUGCCGUAGGGAACCC